rnacentral:ncRNA from 1 species
CAACCUGAACUCAGUCGUGAUUACCCGCUGAACUUAAGCAUAUCAUUUAGCGGAGGAAAAGAAACUAAAAAGGAUUCCCCUAGUAACGGCGAGUGAAACGGGAAGAGCCCAGCGCCGAAUCGAUCAGUCUUUGGCUGCUUCGAAAUGUGGCGUAUAGGUGUAGUCUUCCAGCAGUGUCGUAUGUCCGAAGUCCUUGCGAUUGAGGCCAUAAACCAGAGAGGGUGCGAGCCCCGUUCUGGAUAGCGGCGCUGUUGGUUCGACUGCUCCUUGGAGUCGGGUUGCUUGAAAGUGCAGCCUAAAGUGGGUGAUAAACUUCAUCUAAGGCUAAAUAUUGACUCGAUUGCGAUAGCGAACAAGUACCGUGAGGGAAAGUUGCAAAGGACUUUGAAGAGAGAGUUCAAGAGAACGUGAAAUCGCUGGAGUGGAACCGGAGACAGUUGAUGUUGCUUGGAGACAAUCUUGGUGGCUGAUCGCUUAGCUGUGAUCGCCGCCGGGUAGUCGUUUCCUAUGCUACGCCGACGGCGUUGGCCGCUCGUUCUGGCCCGACAGUGUUGCCCAUCUCGCAAGAGACGGUGUCUUGUUGUCGGUCGUUGGUUCGUGGUGGCUAGCGUUUAGUUACGCUAGUGUGUGUGACGUCGGUGUGAAAGUCGACGACGUUUCCGACCCGUCUUGAAACACGGAUUACGGAGUGUUUGUCUGCUGCGAGUCAAAGGGUGUAAAAACCUUGCGGCGCAAUGAAAGUGAAGGUUAGUCUCGAACUGACCGACGUGGGAUCCGUGCUCUUCGGAGUGCGGCGCACCACGGCCCUAUGCGUGUCACUUGUGACUGUGUAGAGGUUGAGCAGUAGGCAAGCGACCCGAAAGAUGGUGAACUAUGCCUGAGCAGGAUGAAGCCAGAGGAAACUCUGGUGGAAGUCCGUAUCGGUUC